ACAACAAUUUAUCUUAAAAUGCAGUAAAUGCCUUUUUGUACAGCUAUUUACAACACAAUCAGGUGUCACAAAAAAAAUACACCACGAGUUAUUUGUGCCACUCUUAAAAGCAGUUCCUGUCCACCACAAGACAGAGGGGCAGAUCACAGACCUGACAGGUCAACACCACCCAUAUUCUUGUUGUAGGCCAUGAUUGGUGUAGGACAGGGAAUGUCUCUCACAGCCCAGUGUCCAUCUCCAUUCUUCACCCUUUUUGGCACUGUCUCUCCUGAAAAUGCAGGAUGGAUGGUGGAGCACACAGACACCUCCUGUGUGUCCAUCCAUUUUACAUAAACAAGUGGGCCCUCUCUGAUCCAUCUCACAGAUCCUCUUUCACAUUUUUUGGUGAGCGCAUUUGCCCUCCCUCUGGGGCAUCCUUUUCUGCUCUCACUGUAGGUGCCACAUGCUCCAAACUUCAUGCUGGCCAGGUCCAUGAACAGUUUGGGACUUGUGUAAAAAUUGUCCAUGUAAAUAUGGUACCCAAUGCCAAGACAGAAUGGCUGUAUAAGGUUCAUGACAACAUCAUAAGACAGUCCAUGCUCACUUGCAGUUAUAGACUAUGUGUAAAUGUUGAAUCUGAUGGUGUAGCCACUGUUUGACUCAGCCAAUACAAAAAGUUUCAUCCCCAUUUAGUUGGCUUGUCCUUCAUGUCAUGCCUGUUUUUGCCUUAGUUGCCACCAUCCUUUCAUCCACAGCCACCUCUCUUCUCGGGUGGUAAUAAGCCUGGCAGGCACUCAGAAUGUCAUGAUAAAGAGGCCUGACUCUAAACAGUUUGUCAUGGCCUGGUGUUCCCUUCUUGCUGUUGUUUUCUAGAUCCUCCUCAGGAUCACUGAGGUGGAUGUUCCAAAAUAUGGAGCGAAACCUGUCCCUUGUCACCACUUUGGCUAGAAGAGGCACAGACAAAAUGUGAUUCUGUCUCCAGUAACCUUGGAGACUUGACAGCGACACCAACGGCAUGUAGAUCAGAAGACAGAAAAACUUAUGUAGAUCCUCUGUCUCUAUGUCAGUCCAAUUGUACUUCUUCCCUAUUUCCCAGUUUUUUACAGCACUUUUGUUGGUGUUACAGCAGCUUGUCCUAACUGUGUCAAUGGCAAAAAAAACGACAGAAAAAGAUAUUUUGGACUUUGGGGGGAAAGUGUCUCCACCUGGACUCCUGGUGGUUCUUCAUGGUUGAAACCUGCUUACAGAUGGGGCAGUGUCAGCAUCUUCCUUUGUCUUCCAAGGCCCAGAGAGGAGGCGUGGCUCUGCUGCCAGAGUCAGCGGACAUCUGGACCUGGAGCUGUGGUCCUGGAUUGAACAACAGCUGAGGAAUAUAGAUGCAUUGAACUUUGUGUGAGCACCUGCAGUGGACCAAAGCCCAAAAUAUUGCAGACUGGAUCAGGACAACCAACUGCCACACCCUCGAGGACAAACAGAAUUCAUACUGUUUUUGAUAAAGAAAACAAUGUGUUUGUUGACAGUACUGUUGUUAAUGUUCAAAUAAAAUGGAGACAUUUCAAAGAUGCUGGCUUGUGUAACAGUCAAAAAGAUAAGACUGAGUCACAAAAGAGGACCGGGAUAUGCAACUGCCACACCCUCGAGGACAAA